rnacentral:lncRNA from 1 species
GCCAGGAAUCAGACCCUCAUCCUCAAGGAUGCUAAUCGGAUUCAUUACCACUGAGCCAUGACAGGAACUCACCCCACCCGCCCCAUAACUUUUCUGAUGAAGUGGAUGGUGAUAUUAAUGAUUCUCAUUUUUUUUAUCUUGCGUAAGGAGUUGUGUUGACAUUUGGCAUCCAGUAUUUUCCAAAUGUUGUAUGUUUAGUAAAAGAUUCAUUUCAAGUAAAAGAUAGACUAGUGGAUGUUACUUUAAGAGAGUACAUGAAAGUUCAUCGAUAGAGGUUUAAAUUCCAUAUUGCAGCUAGUUUCCUUUCAGAAACUAUCACUGUUGUUUCUGGGUAUGAUAUCCAGGAAGAUAACCCCAGUUAUCUGACUAAGAUAUUAAAAUUCUCCUAUAUUGUUCAACUAUGGUACUAUGUGAGGCCAGUUUUUCUUCAUAUACUUCAACGCAAACAAUAUAUAACAGAUUGUUCUUAUGUUAAGUAACCCAUUAAAGAAAUUUAUAAAAAUAUCAAACAGUGUUACUCUGAUUCUCAUUAAGUUUCUUUUGUUUUAGAAAAUACAGUUACUUAUAAAAAUGCCACUUAUGUUAGCUUAUAAUGGCUUUAUUAUUUAAAAAAAAUAAAAGUUUUUAAAAUUUCUUAUUUAAUUGAUGUACUAUAUAUAUAUUGGUGUAGAUAGCUUACCCUUGCUUUUUUUUUAAUUUCACCAUCGAAACGUGAACUCUUUCAAUAUUUGUUUUCAGUAAUGUUUUUGGAACAGUGCCAGUGGGUGCUUCUGCACAGACACAGCCUGCUUCUUCGAGUGUGCCUGCUCCAUUUGGAGCUACACCUUCCACAAAUCCAUUUGUUGCUGCUGCUGGUCCUUCUGUGGCAUCUUCUACAAAUCCAUUUCAGACCAAUGCCAGAGGAGCAACAGGUAAGAAAGAAAUACAAAGUAUAGAAUGGUAAACUUUGAGAAAGGUUUAUGUUGCAAAGACACCAUGUGAAGAACAUCAGAAAGUCAAGUUCCCUUCUUACUGAAGUCAGUGUAAAGUAGAUGGAAUAUUUUGUCCGUGAAGACGUCUACUAGCUGAAAGUUUAUAAAACCCUUGAAUUUAAUAUUUGUAAAGGGACCCUAGAAGUUAUUUAGCACCCACCACUCCCCAGUUAAAGCUUUCAUUUUUUAGGUUAGGAAACCCAUG